rnacentral:rRNA from 1 species
CCAGACUCCUACGGGAGGCAGCAGUGGGGAAUAUUGGGCAAUGGGCGCAAGCCUGACCCAGCAACGCCGCGUGAAGGAAGAAGGCUUUCGGGUUGUAAACUUCUUUUAUUGAGGACGAAACAAAUGACGGUACUCAAUGAAUAAGCCACGGCUAACUACGUGCCAGCAGCCGCGGUAAUACGUAGGUGGCAAGCGUUGUCCGGAUUUACUGGGUGUAAAGGGCGUGCAGCCAGAGAGGCAAGUCAGAUGUGAAAUCCGCAGGCUCAACCUGCGAACUGCAUUUGAAACUGUUUCCCUUGAGUAUCGGAGAGGUCAUCGGAAUUCCUAGUGUAGCGGUGAAAUGCGUAGAUAUUAGGAAGAACACCAGUGGCGAAGGCGGAUGACUGGACGACAACUGACGGUGAGGCGCGAAAGCGUGGGGAGCAAACAGGAUUAGAUACCCCUGUAA